rnacentral:rRNA from 1 species
GUGCCAGCAGCCGCGGUAAUACGGAGGGUGCGAGCGUUAAUCGGAAUUACUGGGCGUAAAGCGUACGCAGGCGGUUUGUUAAGCGAGAUGUGAAAGCCCCCGGGCUCAACCUGGGAACUGCAUUUCGAACUGGCAAACUAGAGUGUGAUAGAGGGUGGUAGAAUUUCAGGUGUAGCGGUGAAAUGCGUAGAGAUCUGAAGGAAUACCGAUGGCGAAGGCAGCCACCUGGGUCAACACUGACGCUCAUGUACGAAAGCGUGGGGAGCAAACAGGAUUAGAUACCCUGGUAGUCC